GGUUCAGUUCGGUUCUAAAGAUUACGGAAAAAAUCCGACAACACUUCUCAAAAUCGAGCCAAACUGAAAAUCGAAUAGUAAUAUUAUUGUCAUUUUUUAUCGAGUCGAGCUCCCGUGUUUUCAAAAGCACAGGAGCAUUUAUGCUCGUGAUUGUCUUAGUCAUUGGAUCGCCUCAAAAUUCGUGCAACACUGUUAACACUGUGUGUUCUGUAAAGUCUCAUUUACUAGUGUUGCACGGAUCUUGAGACGAUUCGAUGGCUAAAAAAACAUGCAAUUGCAAGCGCAUAUGUUCGUGUGCUUUCCAUAUAUUUAAAAAAUU
rnacentral:lncRNA from 1 species